rnacentral:rRNA from 1 species
UACGUAGGGGGCUAGCGUUGUCCGGAUUUACUGGGCGUAAAGAGCGUGUAGGCGGCCAGACAGGUCCGUUCGUGAAAACUGGAGGCUCAACCUUCAGACGUCGACGGAAACCGUCUGGCUAGAGUCCGGGAAGAGGAGAGUGGAAUUCCUGGUGUAAGCGGUGAAAUGCGCAGAUAUCAGGAAGAACACCGAUGGCGAAGGCAGCUCUCGUGGGACGGUACUGACGCUGAGACGCGAAAGCGUGGGGAGCAAACAGG